CCCUUUUUCCAAGGCUGCCACUCAAGCUGUCACCAAGGCCAGCCUAUUAUCAGAGCAGUCUUGAGAGCAGAUUCCCCCCCAGGCUGCUUGGGGCUCGCCCACACACAUGCAGACACAAGGUGCCCCUGGGGAACAAGCAGCCAGCUGGGAUGGACACACCAACCUGCCGGAUGGGGGCUGAAACGAAGCUGAGCUUUCAGCCCGGCAUCUACAGGGGCAUCAUCCUUGACUGCUUCAUAUUUCAUCGCUAUCGGCUCUGCCUGCCCAGAUAAAAAAGUAACCUUCGGAAAGGCGCCGAGACUUGGCCGCGUUCCCCUUCCCAGCUGCACCUAUAAUAUUCAUCAGCUCCAGUGCUUAAUUACCACCUGUCCGCUGCAAUCAAAGCAGGCCCAAGGUAGGGAAGUGUGAGGAUGUGUUUUACUGGUGGGGGGGAAACAGAAGAGGGGAGGGGAGCAAAACACUGGGCCAGCCAAGAACAGACCCCAGGAGUCCCGUCCCCCCCACCACACAUGUGCGUGUGUGCAUGUGUGUCCCUUUUGUUUUAACUACUAUGCCAUAUUUCCUCCCAUAUCUUAAAGCAGACUCCAGAGUCCUGACUCCCAUGUCAAUGCUCCUAAACAUGAGGACCCAGGAGUCCGGACUCUGCCUCCCUCGGGAUGACACCUGCAUUGUUUGGUGGUCUCUGAGGAUGCCAAGCAAGCAGAGGUCAAGGAGAGACCAGCUGGACCUAUCCUUAGAGGGUGCUCACAGCCCAGCAAUGCAGCCAGAAGAGGCACCUCUAGGAUCUCUCUGGCUGUUCAGGGGGCCCCAGGCCAGCGUCCCAUAGACAAGCGCCUGCACCGUGACUGAGGGUUGACAACCCCAGAAGCAAGGCCAAGGGCUUUGCAGGCCAUCAAGGUUGAAUCUGCACUGGAAAAGGGAGCUCUUUCUGUGGAGGAAGAGGUACAGAGGAAACUCAAGAAAGGUGGCCCCUAAUGUACCUGCUCCGUUGCAAAACAGAGGGGUUCGGCUUCCAGGGGGCCAGGCUGGCAUUUCUCAUCAGGCCCAUCCAGCCAGGCAGAGGGGACACUGGCCUGCAUCUCCUGGCCAACAAAGCAAACCCACAUGGGGAUGCCUCAAGGCCAGAUCUGCAUGAAGGACCAAGGGGUAGACACUUCAUAUUGCCACCACUUCCGGAUUGCCAUCACGUUCCAAAUACCGAGAAGGAACAAGGGGCCAGCCCCUGAGCGGGCACAAAUCACAACCACAAAGCCCAGAAACAGAACCCCCCCUGGAAACAGGCGUCCUGGCCCCCCACCCCUUCCUACCCCAGUGCCAGCCCUCCUGGCACUCCUGCCCGGACCAUCCAUCUCACAGCACGCACCUCCCCAUCUGUCGUUAGCAAGCGUUAAGUAAAAGAGGCAUGUGCGUGUGGGAAAGCAGACAACGGGGAAAGCUCUUUGGACGAUGAGAGUGAGGAUGUGCCUCUCGGCAGAGGAGACAGGGGCUCAGCUGGGCACCGAGGGAAAAGGUACAAGGUCUGCCAUCUGGCCUGAGCCCUGCCAUUCCUCCCCAUCAAGGAUGAAAAGCCUAAUUUAGCUUGCAUGCAUUUCCUUUCUGCCCUUCAAACCAGUGCCGUUCCUCUCCAAGGCCUCGAAUGACAAAUGCUCAGGAUCAGGGCCUCAUCUUGACUGGUGUUUGAUGGUUUUAAUGGAGGUGGGGAGGAUUCCCGGCCUCACUCCCUGAAUCGAGACCCCCGGCGGGUCCCCUCAUCUAUCCCCCGAUAGGAAACCGGCCCCAAGGCAGCUCGACUAUACGUCGUCUUAGACCGAGCAAGACGAGAGGGGCCAUUCUGAGCGCGGUGGUUGCCUCAGCAACAGGAGAAGGCCAAGGUCCCUGCUCACACAGCAGCGUGCAUGCACUUCCCCAGGGCCAACAAGAAAGGGAUCAAGGGGAUGCGCCGGGGAAUGCGUCCUUGCCUGCAUGCAUGAGGCAAGAGGCAUGGGGUCGGUCUCUUCCCUGCCACGUGGCCAUCUCCUUCCACAUGUGCCCCACAUUGGCAUCGGCUAGGUCCAUUCCCUGGGGACCGCGGGCAGCGGGUCGA